UACGUAGGCAGCAAGCGUUGUUCGGAGUUACUGGGCGUAAAGGGUGCGUAGGCGGCUUUUUAAGUUUGGUGUGAAAUCUCCCGGCUCAACUGGGAGGGUGCGCCGGAUACUGAGGGGCUAGAGUGUGGGAGAGGAAAGUGGAAUUCCUGGUGUAGCGGUGAAAUGCGUAGAUAUCAGGAGGAACACCGGUGGUGUAAACGCUUUCUGGACCAUAAACUGACGCUGAGGCACGAAAGCGUGGGUAGCAAACAGG
rnacentral:rRNA from 1 species